rnacentral:rRNA from 1 species
GACGAACGCUGGCGGCGUGCCUAAUACAUGCAAGUAGAACGCACAGUUUAUACCGUAGCUUGCUACACCAUAGACUGUGAGUUGCGAACGGGUGAGUAACGCGUAGGUAACCUGCCUGGUAGCGGGGGAUAACUAUUGGAAACGAUAGCUAAUACCGCAUAAUAUUGAUUAUUGCAUGAUAAUUGAUUGAAAGAUGCUAUUGCAUCACUACCAGAUGGACCUGCGUUGUAUUAGCUAGUAGGUGAGGUAACGGCUCACCUAGGCGACGAUACAUAGCCGACCUGCUAGGGUGAUCGGCCGCCCUGGGACUGAGACACGGCCCAGACUCCUACGGGAGGCAGCAGUAGGGAAUCUUCGGCAAUGGACGAAAGUCUGACCGAGCAACGCCGCGUGAGUGAAGAAGGUUUUCGGAUCGUAAAGCUCUGUUGUCAGAGAAGAACGGGUGUGAGAGUGGAAAGUUCACACUGUGACGGUAUCUUACCAGAAAGGGACGGCUAACUACGUG